rnacentral:tRNA from 1 species
CUAGGGAUUUACGAAUCUUGUACGAACGCUCUAUAUGACGUAGUACAGGGUUCUACCCUCAAAAAUCGUCUAUGCGUGUGCAUGACGUCUCCUUCUAACGAAGGGGUUAGUAUGAAUGAUGAGCGUUUCCUAUCACUUUUAAGUUGUCAAGGUCCUGGGCUUGUAGCUCAGCUGGUUAGAGCACUGUGCUGAUAACGCAGGGGUCAGUGGUUCGAGUCCACUCAGGCCCACUUCCCCUGAGGAAUAGCUUGGGGAUGUAGCUCAGAUGGGAGAGCGCCGCCUUUGCAAGGCGGAAGUCAGGGGUUCGAGUCCCCUCAUCUCCAUCUGUGAGAAUAUAAGAUAUAACAUAAUAAGAAAGAAGCGCAGAUGUAUGGGUGAACCACACAGAUCGCUGAAUAAAAAAAUAACACAAUUAAUUUGAAUUUCGAUCUUUGCUUUUAUUGAAAGAUAAAGGUAAAGAUCGGCAGUCAAAUGUCGAAAUAGAACCUUAAUAAUUGAAUAAUCUUACAGUAACGAGCAUGGAGCUAUGUUAUAAAACAUAGUUCAUUUCAAUUUUUACAUGGAAAUAAGAAAAGUAUCAAGUUCUCCGUGUCAA